rnacentral:rRNA from 1 species
GAGCGGCGGCUGCCUACCAUGCGAGUCUGACGGCAGCAGGUCCUUCGGGAUGCUGGCGAGUGGCGGACGGGUGAGUAAUGCGUAAGAACCUAUCCUUUUGUGGGGGACAACCCAGGGAAACUUGGGCUAAUACCGCAUAAGCCCUGAGGGGGAAAGCGGGGGAUCUUCGGACCUCGUGCUGAAGGAGGGGCCUACGUCCGAUUAGCUAGUUGGUGGGGUAAAGGCCUACCAAGGCGACGAUCGGUAGCUGGUCUGAGAGGACGACCAGCCACACUGGGACUGAGACACGGCCCAGACUCCUACGGGAGGCAGCAGUGGGGAAUUUUUCGCAAUGGGGGCAACCCUGACGAAGAGAUGCCGCGUGGAUGAAGAAGGCCUUCGGGUUGUAAAGUCCUUUCGUGGGGGACGAAAAGGCGGAUCCGAAUACGGUCUGCUAUUGACGUGAACCCAAGAAGAAGCACCGGCUAACUCCGUGCCAGCAGCCGCGGUAAU